rnacentral:tRNA from 1 species
GGGGACGUAGCUCAGUUGGUUAGAGCGAUGGCUUGUCAAGCCAUAGGUCGCGGGUUCGAGCCCCGUCGUCCCCG